rnacentral:rRNA from 14 species
ACUCUAAUCUGGCAUUGUUCGGAGACAUGCCGAGGUGUAUCAUACGUGGGAGACCCGGACCAAGGCGGGCGGUUUCGGCCGUUCGUCUCCGGGCCGACCUUGAAAUACCACUACUCGCAUCGUUUCCCCACUUACUCGGUAGAGCGGAACGCGCGGUUCCGGCCGCGGGGCGCGUCCGGCCGGCGGU